rnacentral:lncRNA from 1 species
AUGGAGACGCGCGCGGAGGAGGUGAACCCCAACUCCCCCCCUGCCACGGAGCAGCCGGGCCUGUGCCUGAGGCCCCAGGUGACGGCCAGCCCCGGAGAGAGAGGGGACAGAGGGAGCUGGGAUGGGGCUGGAGGCAGCGGCCUGGGGGCCAGGGCUGGGCUGGUGUCUCCUUCCCCCACAGCCGGGGCACAGAGCCAGGGCCCUGCCCCACACAGCCCCUGCUGCCCCCCCAGCCCCUAUUCCCCCCCCAGCCCCUGCCCUGGGUGGCUGGAAGCCCUCUGGGAGCAGUGUGAGAGGGCAGUAGGGGGGACAGAGCUGCCAGGGCCACAGACUGUGGGGUGGGACUUGGCCAGGGAGGAGAGAGAGUGGGAACCCUACCUGGGCCAGGGCCUGCCCCAGUGGGAAAAGGAGAAUGUCCAAGAGCUGUCCCAAUGGGAAGAUGAGAAAUACCAAGAUCUGUCCCAACUGGAAUUUGAGAGAGACCAAGGGCUGUCCCAUGGGGAAGAUGUGACAUAUCAGGAGCCUUCCCAAAAGCAAGAUAUGAAUGUCUCAGAGCUCUACAAACAGGAUGACAAAAUAGACCAAGAGCUGUCAGAAGGUGAAAUAGACCCAGAGCUGUACCACUGGGAAUCUGCAAGACACCAAAAGCUAUUCAAGUUUCUGGACAUGAGAAUCCAAGAGCUGUCCCAGGAGGAAAACAGCAGUGACAAGUUUCCCCAGUGGGAACACUCCAUUGACCAAGAGCUGUCUGAAGGAGAAAUGAGACAAUAUCCAAAGGUGUCCCAAGAGAAAGGCGAUAGUGACAAAAAGGAGUCACAGACAGACAGGGAAUGCAUCACCAUCCACACCAUCUGGGUCAACCCCAAGUACCCUCAGCUCCUGCAGGACCCCGACGCUGUUCCACAGAGCCAGGGCCCUGCCCCACACAGCCCCUGCUGCCCCCCGGAGCCCUCAGCUCCCCAGCCAGGAGCCCAGGCCCUCAGGGAGCCGCCGGCUCCCCCCAAGAAACGCCCGUCCNAGGCCACAGACGGACAAUCAGUGCCCGCUGCCCGCGCCAGGCCGGGCCCCGCAGGUGGCGGCUGGCCCGGAGCCUGCCCCUGUCACACGGGCUGCCUUUGA